GCGCCUGUAGCUCAGAGGAUAGAGUAUUGGUCUCCGGAACCAAGGGUCGCAGGUUCGACUCCUGCCAGGCGCGCCA
rnacentral:tRNA from 1 species